UCGAGAAUCUUCGGCAAUGGGCGCAAGCCUGACCGAGCGACGCUGCGUGCGGGAUGAAGGCCCUUGGGUUGUAAACCGCUGUCAGGGGGGAUGAAAGCUUCGGCUUGACAGAGCCCCAGAGGAAGCGCGGGCUAAGUUCGUGCCAGCAGCCGCGGUAAUACGAACUGCGCAAACGUUAUUCGGAAUCACUGGGCUUACAGGGUGCGUAGGCGGCCCACCAGGUCAGAUGUGAAAUCCCACAGCUCAACUGUGGAACGGCAUUUGAAACCGGCGGGCUUGAGUGGACUAGAGGUAAACGGAACUUCCGGUGGAGCGGUGAAAUGUGUUGAGAUCGGAAGGAACACCAGAGGCGAAAGCGGUUUACUGGAGUCUGUCUGACGCUGAGGCACGAAAGCCAGGGGAGCGAACGGGAUUAGAUACCCCCGUAGUCC
rnacentral:rRNA from 1 species